rnacentral:lncRNA from 1 species
UCUAGAUAACCUUGGGCCAAUCGCAUGUCCCCGUGACGGCGACAACGUAUUUAGAUGUCUGCCCUAUCAACUUUCGAUGGUACUUUCUGCGCCUACCAUGGUAACCAUGGGUAACGGGGAAUUAGGGUUCGAUUCCGGAGAGGGAGCCUGAGAAACGGCUACCACAUCCAAGGAAGGUAUCAGGCGCGCAAAUUACCCACUCCCGACGCCGGGAGGUAGUGACGAAAAAUAAC